GAGACAGGGCGCGGCGUUAUCCACGGCGGACGGGUGAGUAACGCGUGGGAACGUGCCUUCUGGUUCGGAAUAACUCAGGGAAACUUGAGCUAAUACCGGAUACGCCCUUUUGGGGAAAGGUUUACUGCCGGAAGAUCGGCCCGCGUCUGAUUAGCUAGUUGGUGGGGUAACGGCCUACCAAGGCGACGAUCAGUAGCUGGUCUGAGAGGAUGAUCAGCCACACUGGGACUGAGACACGGCCCAGACUCCUACGGGAGGCAGCAGUGGGGAAUAUUGGACAAUGGGCGCAAGCCUGAUCCAGCCAUGCCGCGUGAGUGAUGAAGGCCUUAGGGUUGUAAAGCUCUUUUGUCCGGGACGAUAAUGGCGGUACCGGAAGAAUAAGCCCCGGCUAACUUCGUGCCAGCAGCCGCGGUAAU
rnacentral:rRNA from 1 species